rnacentral:rRNA from 1 species
GGCACUACGGUGCUGAAGCAACAAAUGCCCUGCUUCCAGGAAAAGCCUCUAAGCAUCAGGUAACAUCAAAUCGUACCCCAAACCGACACAGGUGGUCAGGUAGAGAAUACCAAGGCGCUUGAGAGAACUCGGGUGAAGGAACUAGGCAAAAUGGUGCCGUAACUUCGGGAGAAGGCACGCUGAUAUGUAGGUGAAGUCCCUCGCGGAUGGAGCUGAAAUCAGUCGAAGAUACCAGCUGGCUGCAACUGUUUAUUAAAAACACAGCACUGUGCAAACACGAAAGUGGACGUAUACGGUGUGACGCCUGCCCGGUGCCGGAAGGUUAAUUGAUGGGGUUAGCCGCAA